rnacentral:tRNA from 1 species
UCCUCGGUAGUAUAGUGGUUAGUAUCCCCGCCUGUCACGCGGGAGACCGGGGUUCGAUUCCCCCCGCCGGGGAG